UACGUAGGGUGGCGAGCGUUAAUCGGAAUUACUGGGCGUAAAGCGUGACGCAGGCGGCUUUGCAAGACAUGAUGUGAAAUCCCCGGGCUCCAACCUGGGAACUGCAUCUGUGACUGCAUAGCUAGAGUACGGUAGAGGGGGAUGGAAUUCCGCGUGUAGCAGUGAAAUGCGUAGAUAUGCGGAGGAACACCGAUGGCGAAGGCAAUCCCCUGGACCUGUACUGACGCUCAUGCACGAAAGCGUGGGGAGCAAACAGG
rnacentral:rRNA from 1 species